rnacentral:rRNA from 1 species
GCCUAACACAUGCAAGUCGAACGGGACUUAAUGGAAUGCGACUUCGGUCAAAUGAAAUUAAGUUUAGUGGCGAACGGGUGAGUAACGCGUGAGAAACCUGCCUCUCAGUGGGGGACAACAGUUGGAAACGACUGCUAAUACCGCAUAAUGUAUUCGGAGUGCAUCCUCUGAAUACCAAAGCUUUAUGUGCUGAGAGGUGGUCCCGCGUCUGAUUAGCUAGAUGGAGGGGGAACGGCCCACCACGGCGACGAUCAGUAGCCGGUCUAAGAGGUAGAACGGCCACAUUGGGACUGAGAUACGGCCCAGACUCCUACGGGAGGCAGCAGUGGGGAAUAUUGGGCAAUGGGGGAAACCCUGACCCAGCAACGCCGCGUGAAGGAAGAAGGCUUUCGGGUUGUAAACUUCUUUUACCAGGGACGAAGAACGUGACGGUACCUGGAGAAAAAGCAACGGCUAACUACGUGCCAGCCGCCGCCGUAAGAC